rnacentral:lncRNA from 11 species
GAGACAGGUCCUGUGUUUUCAGCUUGUCUGGAUAGGCCCUCAGUCAACCAGCUCUUUGAAUUGUGUUUGGAAAUAGACUCAAUAGUGCUGUUGGUGCAUGGAAGUUCUAUGUUCCCUGUAAGCUGCUCCAUCUAACACUCUGGCAGUAGCUUUUUGUACCAGCUGAAGUUUCAAAACACCAAGGAGCUUCCUUGGUGUUUGGUGGAAAGAAGAAAUAGUUUGGUGUCACUGAAUUCAGUCAUUAGGACAAUCUCUCUACAAGGCUGAAUAGUGAAAAGAUGGGCAGAAGAAACAAAGUUAAGAAUCAGUUGCUGACCUUGAAGACAACAUCCAAGAAACUCCAUCAAGUUAAUUCUCUUAUACAGUCAAUGACAGUGACCCUGGAAAGGAAAAAAAUGUAAUGACCCA